UACGGAGGGUGCGAGCGUUGUCCGGAAUCACUGGGCGUAAAGGGCGCGUAGGCGGCGCGGUAAGUCACUUGUGAAAUCUCUGAGCUUAACUCAGAACGGCCAAGUGAUACUGCAGUGCUAGAGUGCAGAAGGGGCAAUCGGAAUUCUUGGUGUAGCGGUGAAAUGCGUAGAUAUCAAGAGGAACACCUGAGGUGAAGACGGGUUGCUGGGCUGACACUGACGCUGAUGCGCGAAAGCCAGGGGAGCAAACGGG
rnacentral:rRNA from 1 species